AGUAUACUGAAGUGUAGAUGGAGUAUAGAUAAAGUAUACUAAAGUGUAGGUGGAGGAUAGACAGAGUAUACUGAAGUGUAGAUGGAGAAUAGAUAGAGUAUACUGAAGUGUAGAUAGAGUAUAGAUAGAGUAUACUGAAGUGUAGGUGGAGUAUAGGUAAAGUAUACUGAAGUGUAGAUGGAGUAUAGAUAGAGAACAGUAAAGUUUAGGUGGCAUAGAAUGUACUGAAGUGCAGGUGGAGUAUGGGUAGAGUAUACCUAAGUGUAGGUGGAGUAUGGAUAGAGUAUGCUGAAGUGUAGGCAGAGUAUGGUUAGAGUAUAUUGAAGUGGGUGGAGUAUGAGUAGAGUACACUGAAGUGUAGAUGGAGUACAGGUAGAGAAAAGUAAUGUGUAGGUGAGGUCUACAUAGAAUGUACUGAAGGACAGGGGUAGUAUAGGUAGAGUGUACUGAAGUGUAGGUGAAGUAUAGGUAGAAUAUAAUAAAGUGUAGGUGGAGUAAGGAUAGAAUGUACUGAAGUAUAGGUGGGGUGCAGGUAGAGUAUCCUGAAGCACAGGGAGAGUAUAGAUAGAAUAUGCUGAAGUGUAGGUGGGAUAUAGGUCGAAUGUACUGAAGCAUAGCUGGAGUAAAGGUAGAAUAUAGUAAAGUGUAGGUGAAAUAGGGAUACAAUGUACUGAAGGUAUGGGUAGAGUGUACUGAAGUGUAGGUAGAGUGUAGGUAGAAUAUAGUGAAGUGUAG
rnacentral:lncRNA from 1 species